rnacentral:rRNA from 1 species
CGCCUUUUGUCAGAAUAAAAGGUCUAGCCUGCCCACUGAAAAGUUAAAGGGCCGCGGUAUAUUGACCGUGCAAAGGUAGCAUAAUCAUUAGUCUUCUAAUUAAAGGCUGGAAUGAAUGGUUGGACGAGGUAUUAGCUGUCUCCCUAAAAUUAUCUAAAAUUUAACUUUUUAGUCAAAAGGCUGAAAUAAAAUUGGAGGACGAGAAGACCCUAUAGAUCUUUAUAUUGAAACCCUUUAACCACUUUAGAAGGGUUAAGGUUUAAUGGCUAAAAUAUUUUGUUGGGGUGACAGGAAGAUAAAUAAAACUAUUUUUAAUAUUUAAAACAUUGAUGUAUGAAUAUAUGAUCCGUAAUAACGAUUAAAAGACUAAGUUACCUUAGGGAUAACAGCGUAAUCUUUUUUGAGAGUUCUAAUCGACAAAAAGGGUUGCGACCUCGAUGUUGGACUAAGGGUUAUUCUUGGGUGUAGAAGUUCAAGGUUUAGGUCUGUUCGACCUUUGAAUCCUUACAU